rnacentral:lncRNA from 1 species
CCAGCAGCCCCCUUUUUUUCCAGACAAGGGUGUGAACCCGCCUGGGGAUGAGGCCUGGUCCUGUGGAAACUGGACUUAGCUUCGCGGGGCAGACCGCUCUGGCCCAGGGUGGUAGGUAAC